AGCUGAUGUACCAGACAGCAUUACUGGAGAGUGGUUUCCUGCUCAAUGACCCAAAGGAUUUUGCCUCCCGCAUCUACAGCUCAGUUAAGACCACUUUAAAUGUGAGCCCUGAUGCAGCAGUUGAGGAAGAAGAGGAUAUUGAGGAACCUGAAGCUGAAACUGAUGAAAAGGAAGCUGCUUCCAAAGUUUAAAGGUGAGCCCUGAUGCAGCAGUUGAGGAAGAAGAGGAUAUUGAGGAACCUGAAGCUGAAACUGAUGACAAAGAAGCUGCUGCCAAAGAUGAUUCUGAUGCCAAGGACGAAUUAUAGAUUACUCUUGAAGAAUGCCCUUUCUCUGGAGAAAACUUCGUAGAAGUCUGUUAAAUCAAUAUGAUGAAUGUGUAUAAACUGA
rnacentral:lncRNA from 1 species